GACGGGGUUUCACCAUGUUUGCCAGGUUGGUCUCAAACUCCUGACAUCAUGUGAUCUGCCUGCCUCAGGCUCCCAAAGUGCUGGGAUCACAGGCGUGAGCCACCGCGCCCGGCCUUAAGUCUCUUUUAAAUUAUAGGUCCCCUUUUUCUCUUUUUCCACCCUUACAAUGUAUUUGUUGAGGAAACCAGGUCAUUUUUGCUGUAGAAUUUCCCAGAGUCUGGAGUUUGAUUGCAUCCCUAAAUCUAGAGGCUUGAAAAUCCUAUAGUUUUCAAAAUAAUGAGCGAGUUCCCUAGCAUCUCUGAAAGUGAUCAUUAAUUUUUAUCAUAAACUUAUGGAUUUACAUACAUUUGAAAUGUUUCAACACAUUGCCAUUAUAGUUAGGGUAUUUUGUUUUUCUUUUUUGUCUAGAUGGAGUCUUGCUCUGUCAUCCAGGCUGGAGUACAAUGGCGCAAUCUCGGCUCACUGCAACCUCUGCCUCCUGGGUUCAAGCAAUUCUCCUGCCUCAGCCUCCCGAGUAGCUGAGAUUACAGGCACCCGCCACCACACCCGGCUAACUUUUUGUAUUUUUAGUAGAGACGGGGUUUCACCAUGUUGCCCAGGCUGGUCUCGAACUCCUGACCUCAUGAUCUGCCCACCUCGGCCUCCCAAAGUGCUGGAAUUACAGCUGUGAGCCAUUGCGCCCAGCCAGUUAGGAUAUUUUUUAAAAAUUGUUUUUCCAGCUUAAGUUUAGGGAGUAAGGGUGAUUACAAGGGACAACAUAGAAAAAUUGAGAGAACUCUGGCUUUGGAGGCAAACAACCCGUGGGUGGAAUCCUGGCUCCACCACUUACAAGCUGGAUGGCUUUGGUCAAGUUACUUCACUUCUCUUUCCUUCUAUUUCCCCACCCCCCGAUAAGGAAAUGAUUAAUAAUAACUAACAUUUCCUGAGUGCUUACUGUCUUCCAGGCAUCGUGCUCAGCGUCUUAAAGACAUGAUGGCAAUUUAAUCCUCCUAUCAGUUCAGUGAAGCAGGAGUCGUUAUUAUUGUCCCCACUUUAGAGAUGAGGAAGAAACUGAAGCACAGGUGGUUGAGCAAUUUGUCCAAGGUUACACACCUAGAAAGGGGCGCGGCAGGGACCUGAACCGGGGCAGUCUGACUCCACAGCCCACUGUCCUCUAGCGGUUGUUGUGGAGAAGAGAGAGGGUGAUGGUGAUGCCCUCCUGCAGGCCCUGAUAGAUGGGAAGACCAGGCCAGAAGACUCCCCCCUCACCUGCUGUGACCCAGACCCUUGCAUAAGAACACAGCUGUUCUUGAUGAGGAAACUGAGGCUGAGAGGGUAGAGAACUUUGCCUGAGGUCACUCAGCAGGGACCCACCCAUCACAGUAAAUGCCAGCACUGCUGAUGCCAAAACAAUGUUAUUUGUAGGCCCUCGGAAUUUGUGACCUGAAGGAAGAAGAGCAGGGCCGUGGGAAGUAUGUAACCAGUGUCAUGCCCCUGGUCCCAAGGAAGCAGUGGCUUGGUAAAGAGGGGACCCCCGUCAAUAACUCCCUGUAAUUACUGGGCACCCACUCUGAGCUCCUCAGUGGAAUCCUAAGGUUAAUAAGACUGUCUCUAGCCACUGGGGCUCCCAGCCUGGAGUGAGGUAAGAGGAGUGGAGCCGGCUGGGGAGGGAGACGAACACAUACACAGAAGAUUCAGACACACUUGCAAUGUAUUGCUGGGGAUUCUCCAGCAUUGGCAUGAUGGAGAGGGUGGAGAAUCAUUUGACCGCCUCCGCCUAGGAUUGCAGAGUUCAGCUGGCCAUCAUCCACCAGCCGGGGGACUGUGCACAUCAGUUAACCUCUCCUCUCAGGCCUUGAAAAGCACCAGGCUUAGUACACGUUUGUUAAAUGAAUGCACUGCAGUUUUUUUGCUUGUUAAAGGCAGGUAAUAAUAAUGAUAUUGCUGACUAAGGGCUCCCAUCCACUCCCAGUGAGCCCGGUGCCCCCCCGGGCCUCCUCAGUGAGCUGAGGAGGCUCAGCAGUGCCUGCACGUCCCCUCGCCACAAUGUCAUGUGCCACCUCUUCAAAGGAGGGAUGUACCAGCUAGUGGACGUGACCUUGACUGCAAAGGGCGGCACGCAGCUGAUGUAAUGGUCGCUUAAGUGUUCACAAAUGCCUGAACACCCUGUCCUACCUGGUCCUACCUGGAUGCUGGCCUCAGUAAGCUCCUGGGCUCAUUGAAGAUGAACCUAGCAGUAGUAUUUACACCACUUGUUGUGUGCCCACUGUGGGCCCGGCGCCAUGCCGAGUGCUCUAUGGAUGUGAGAGAAACGGAGGCCCAGAAAGCAGAAAUGAUGUGUUAAGAUCACUCAUCAAGCUGAUGGUACAGAGGUUAGAGCCUCUGCUCCCUGCUCUACCUCUUUCCCUUACUCCACAUCCAUGCCUGUCUCUUCCAAUGGGUCGGCAUCCACCCUGACACAUUAAAGCCAAAAGGAACCUUAAGCUAGGGAAGGGGCUCCAGAACUUUAGUGAAAGAUUCAAACAUGUCCACUCAACUCAAUGGAGAAAAUACAAUAUUCAAUCAAUGGUGUUGGGAUGCCUGGAAUAUUGUUGGAGAGGGAUCAUAAAAAUGGAACCAAAACAAUUCCAUUUGGGUCAAAGAUUUAAGUGUCAUAAAGCCAUGUAAAUUCUAUAAGGAAGUAUGGGUAAAUUGAUUUACAUUUUGGAAUAGGAAAGUCUUUCUUUUUUUCCAACUUUUAUUUUAGAUUUGGGGGAUAUAUGUGCAGGUUUGUUAUAAGGCUAUACUGCAGGAUGCUGGGAUUUGGGGUACAAUCAAACCCAUCACCCACAUAGCAUAGUGGGAAGGCUUUUCUAAUCAGGAUGGAAAACCCAGAGUCAUACAGGAAAAGACUAAUACAUUCAACCACAUAAAAAAAUUUUAAACUUCUGUAUGGAAAACCACCAUAGAAAUGUUUUUCCAAUAACUGAGGAAAAUAUGAUAUGGGGAUAUUUCCUUAAUUUGCAAAGAAACUCAUACUAAUUAAUAUGAAAAAACAAUUAUUUUAAUUGCUAAUACUUAAUGAUCAUUUACUAUAUGCUAGACACUAUUUUAAGUAUAUGGAUUAUUUCAUUUAAUUCUCACAGUAAGUAACCCUAUAAGGUAAGUGCUAUUAUUACUAUCUCCAUUUUAUAGAUGAGAACACUGAAGCAGUUUUUUCUAAAGAUAGCUGCCUGGCACAGUGGCUCACAUCUGUAGUCCCAGCAUUUGGGGAGGCCAAGGCAGGUGGAUCACUUGAGGCCAGGAAUUCAAGACCAGCAUGGCCAACAUGGUAAAACCCCAUCCCUACUAAAAAUACAAAAAUUAGCUGGGCGUGGUGGCACCUGUAAUCCCAACUACUCAGGAGGCUGAGGCAGGAGAAUUGCUUGAACCCAGAGGCGGAGGUUGCAGUGAGCCAAGAUCACGCCACUGCACUCCAGCCUGGGCAACAGAGCAAGACUCCGUCUUGGGGAAAAAAAUGCAAAAAUUAGCCAGGCAUGAUAGUGGGCACAUGUAAUCCCAGCUACUUGGGAGGCUGAGGCAGGAGAAUCGCUUGAACCUGGGAGGCAUAGGUUGCAGUGAGCCAAGAUUGCGAUUGCACCACUGCACUCCAGCCUGAGUGACAGAGCAAGACUCCAUCUCAAAAAAAAAAAAAAAGCCAAAGAAUAUAUAUUAGGUUGGUGCAAAAGUAAUUGCAGUUUUUGCCAAUACAAGUAGUUUACAGAAAGAGAAAUAUCAGUGGCCCAUAAACAUGUAGAAAGAUGUUUAAUAGCACUCAUAAUUCAAGAAAUGCAAAAUAAAACUAAAAUUAAACAUCACUUUUUCACCUUUCUGCUUGGCAAAAAUGAAAACAUUUGCCAAUACUCAGGGAUGGUGAGAAAAACUACUUAUAUAACUUAUAUAACUGUUCCUCUGUAGAUUCUGAGUUCUAUCCUAGUAACAGUUCAUGUCACCAAAAAACUACACAUUAGAACCACCUUAGCUUAGCUGCCCAGGAAAAAUGCCUUCAGCCAAGUUCCAUUUUAAUGUUAUACGCUUGGCAUCUCUUGAUGGUUGGCAGAAGAAAUGACCACAUGAAAAGCUGCAUUUUUUUGUCCUGGAAAAACCACCACUAAAGGCAUUGUAAUCUACAUUGAGUAUAUAAGGAAGGGCCCACACAAUAAAUUAUCUGCAGUAUUUACUACCAGGAAAGAUUUACUUUCUCCUGAAGACCUGAUGUGUUAUUUUGCCAUACGAUGGUAAUCAUAUAAACCUCUGUUUCUCGUUUCUCCUUGGCUGCUAAGAAGCUCAAAAAUCACAUCUGAUGAUCCACUCUAGUGACAACAUAGCCAGGGCGAUUGGCAUCUGACUUCUCAACCCAACCUGACCUCAUAUUAGCUUUUUUCUUUUGUCUCCUCUCCCCUUCCAUUAGUUUCUCUUCUUCCACUUGCUGUUUAGUUUUCUAAUUCUAGCUUAACAAAAUUAUUAUAAAUGUGUGUUUUUGGAAGCUAUUUCAAAAUCUUUUGGAAGUAGAUAGGAUAUGUUACAAAUAGUCAAACUCCCUUAGUUUAUAGAUGAGAAAACUCAAGUUCUUUAGAAGUUAAAUGACUUAUUCCAGUGUUAAUCAGCUUAUAUCUGUGUGCACAUGUGACUCUCACUUUAUUGUAAGUGUCUUAGAAUUAUAUUUAUCUCUGAGACUCUGGUGGCCAGCUUUGAGCCAAGUACAUGGUAAAUUGUCAAUGUAUAUAUAUUGGUUGAAAAAAUUCUAAGUGCUGUGAGGAAAGGGACAUUUUUGCAGGGGAUAAGGUCGUAGUAGGUGCUCAUGAGAACUGAAUUCACAACAGGGCGUGGCCUCAGCCUCUGGCCUCACCCCACCACACCCUAGCAUCUCCACCACCCAGGAGUCUCAGGGCUGGGCUUCAUGCAACCCAUCUGCCCUACACCUGCCCGCACUCUGCCUUUGUCUCCACUAUUCCACUUUGGCCCUCUUGCCUUGUCCAGUGAGUUUCCAAAUAUUUCUCUUUUUUUUUGAGACGGAGUCUUGCUCUGUCACCCAGGCUGGAGUGCAGUGUUGCGAUCUCGGCUCACUGCAAGUUCCACCUCCUGGGUUCAAGUGAUUCUCCUGCCUCAGCCUCCAGAGAAGCUGGGACUACAGGUGCCCGCCAUCAUGCCCGGCUAAUUUUUUUUGUAUUUUUAGUAGAGACGGGGGUUUCACUGUGUUAACCAGGAUGGUCUCGAUCUCCUGACCUCGUGAUCUACCCGCCUCAGCCUCCGAAAGUGCUGGGAUUAGAGGUGUGAGCCACCGUACCCAGCUGAGUUUCCAAAUAUUUCUGAUUUCACCAGCGGGGGAAGACUGGCAGGCUCCUAUAUCCUCGAAGUAUCCUGCCAUGAGAUGCCUGCAGAGUGGGGAAUGGCAUCACCUUUCCAACCCUGUGCAGCACCCAGUGCGAGCUGCUUAUUAGUGGGAACUGGAGAGGAAGAGGAGGAAAAGGAGGACCCAUGGCCAUGGCUUUUUCUGUCCUUGUAACCCUCAACUGAUAUGUAUCCCAUACUUCUUGGUUGGGCAGAGGGGAGAGCAGAGGUUGACAGGUCACAUUUCCCUCAGUUUUCCAUCCUUCCUUCAGUGCUGGGAGAGAAAAGCAUACGACAUAGACAGGGAGGUCAAGCUCCACCACGCAGAUGAGGUGCAGGCCACCAGUCUUCCUCUGCCACAUCUCUUUCUGAAAAGGACUUCACAUUCACCCUUGCAAUCCAUGUGGGGACACUGUUGGAUAGGAGGCGUGGUCCCAGCGUGGUCUCCCUGUCUGGGCCUCUGCCUAUGCCAAAUGUUUGCCUUACGCUGCACACUCAAGAGGUUCCAUGUAUACAGAUGGGAAUUCCAGAGCUACAGAAAAGGCAGCAAGCACCAUGAUUUAAGCUAACCAGUGUGGAUUCACACCUUCCUCUCUCUCUAUCAGUGGCAGAACUACCAGCUAGAGUAAGAAGUGGUUGAUCCAGGACCUAAACAUUCUGGAAACUCUUGCCCACUUCUGGGAGAAAUGACCCAAUCCAUAGUACUAAGCACACCUUAACUUUCGUAGGACGCAGGCAAGUUGUCAUACCGUGUGCCUAAAUAUAGAAAAAUGAUCCACUGGACUAAUAAAGUGUUAAAUAAAAUAUGUCCUGACUGUCUACUUUGACAACAUACUUUCAUAAUGACAAAACUUAAAAAUGUAUAAAGCUAUGGUUUUUAUAUAGUUGAAAAUUGACAAAACAGAAGACUAAAUUUACUUAUUAUUGCACAUGAUGGGCGGGCUAUGUUUGGUUGAG
rnacentral:lncRNA from 10 species